CCUACGGGAUGCAGCAGUGGGGAAUAUUGCACAAUGGGGGAAACCCUGAUGCAGCGACGCCGCGUGAAGGAAGAAGUAUUUCGGUAUGUAAACUUCUAUCAGCAGGGAAGAAAAUGACGGUACCUGACUAAGAAGCCCCGGCUAACUACGUGCCAGCAGCCGCGGUAAUACGUAGGGGGCAAGCGUUAUCCGGAUUUACUGGGUGUAAAGGGAGCGUAGGCGGUGCAGCAAGUCAGAAGUGAAAGCCCGGGGCUCAACUCCGGGACUGCUUUUGAAACUGUUGAACUAGAGUGCAGGAGAGGUAAGUGGAAUGCCUGGUGUAGCGGUGAAAUGCGUAGAUAUUAGGAGGAACACCAGUGGCGAAGGCGGCUUACUGGACUGUAAAUGACGCUGAGGCUCGAAAGCGUGGGGAGCAAACAGGAUUAGAUACCCUUGUAGUC
rnacentral:rRNA from 1 species